CAAUAAGACAGUUACAGCUACUUUUGG
rnacentral:piRNA from 1 species